rnacentral:misc_RNA from 1 species
CGGGCCAAGUCUAUGUCUGUUUCUUGCCACUCAAAUGGUGAAUUACCAAAUUUUGAUAAACCACCUUCUCAAGCAUUGGGUGUUUUAAGUUCCUGUUCAGCUGAUAAAAGCAUUGCCAUCAGUGGGGGAUUAUACCUGCUCAGUCCUGCUCAAAAGAGAAAUCCAGCUGGGCAAACAUUUUGUGCAGCCUCAGCAGCAGGAUACACACAUGGUGAAAAUCUCGUUGAAUCUCAUACAGACACCUCAGAAGACAGGGUUGGUGUGCUGCUCCUGAAUCUUGGAGGGCCAGAAACACUUCAUGAUGUUCAGCCAUUUUUAUUCAAUUUAUUUGCAGACCCAGAUAUUAUACGACUUCCCAGGCUCUUUCGGUUUCUUCAACGACCUUUAGCUCAAUUAAUUUCUGUGCUCCGUGCUCCUAAAAGUAAAGAAGGGUAUGCUGCCAUAGGAGGUGGCUCACCUUUGCGUAAAAUAACAGAUGAGCAGGCAGAUGCAAUCAAAAUGGCCUUGG